CAGUCGCCGCGGUAAUACGUAGGGUGCGAGCGUUAAUCGGAAUUACUGGGCGUAAAGCGUGCGCAGGCGGUUUUGUAAGACAGGCGUGAAAUCCCCGGGCUCAACCUGGGAAUGGCGCUUGUGACUGCAAAGCUAGAGUGCGGCAGAGGGGGAUGGAACUCCGCGUGUAGCAGUGAAAUGCGUAGAUAUGCGGAGGAACACCGAUGGCGAAGGCAAUCCCCUGGGCCUGCACUGACGCUCAUGCACGAAAGCGUGGGGAGCAAACAGGAUUAGAUACCCCUGUAGUCCCUGUCUCUUAUAC
rnacentral:rRNA from 1 species